GAUGAACGCUGGCGGCGUGCCUAAUACAUGCAAGUCGAGCGAACGGACGAGAAGCUUGCUUCUCUGAUGUUAGCGGCGGACGGGUGAGUAACACGUGGAUAACCUACCUAUAAGACUGGGAUAACUUCGGGAAACCGGAGCUAAUACCGGAUAAUAUUUUGAACCGCAUGGUUCAAAAGUGAAAGACGGUCUUGCUGUCACUUAUAGAUGGAUCCGCGCUGCAUUAGCUAGUUGGUAAGGUAACGGCUUACCAAGGCAACGAUGCAUAGCCGACCUGAGAGGGUGAUCGGCCACACUGGAACUGAGACACGGUCCAGACUCCUACGGGAGGCAGCAGUAGGGAAUCUUCCGCAAUGGGCGAAAGCCUGACGGAGCAACGCCGCGUGAGUGAUGAAGGUCUUCGGAUCGUAAAACUCUGUUAUUAGGGAAGAACAUAUGUGUAAGUAACUGUGCACAUCUUGACGGUACCUAAUCAGAAAGCCACGGCUAACUACGUGCCAGCAGCCGCGGUAAUACGUAGGUGGCAAGCGUUAUCCGGAAUUAUUGGGCGAAGCGCGCGUAGGCGGUUUUUUAGUCUGAUGUGAAAGCCCACGGCUCAACCGUGGAGGGUCAUUGGAAACUGGAAAACUUGAGUGCAGAAGAGGAAAGUGGAAUUCCAUGUGUAGCGGUGAAAUGCGCAGAGAUAUGGAGGAACACCAGUGGCGAAGGCGACUUUCUGGUCUGUAACUGACGCUGAUGUGCGAAAGCGUGGGGAUCAAACAGGAUUAGAUACCCUGGUAGUCCACGCCGUAAACGAUGAGUGCUAAGUGUUAGGGGGUUUCCGCCCCUUAGUGCUGCAGCUAACGCAUUAAGCACUCCGCCUGGGGAGUACGACCGCAAGGUUGAAACUCAAAGGAAUUGACGGGGACCCGCACAAGCGGUGGAGCAUGUGGUUUAAUUCGAAGCAACGCGAAGAACCUUACCAAAUCUUGACAUCCUUUGACAACUCUAGAGAUAGAGCUUUCCCCUUCGGGGGACAAAGUGACAGGUGGUGCAUGGUUGUCGUCAGCUCGUGUCGUGAGAUGUUGGGUUAAGUCCCGCAACGAGCGCAACCCUUAAGCUUAGUUGCCAUCAUUAAGUUGGGCACUCUAAGUUGACUGCCGGUGACAAACCGGAGGAAGGUGGGGAUGACGUCAAAUCAUCAUGCCCCUUAUGAUUUGGGCUACACACGUGCUACAAUGGACAAUACAAAGGGCAGCGAAACCGUGAGGUCAAGCAAAUCCCAUAAAGUUGUUCUCAGUUCGGAUUGUAGUCUGCAACUCGACUACAUGAAGCUGGAAUCGCUAGUAAUCGUAGAUCAGCAUGCUACGGUGAAUACGUUCCCGGGUCU
rnacentral:rRNA from 1 species